rnacentral:lncRNA from 1 species
UCGGGGAGGUUCAUCAGCAUGAGGCUCGGCGCGGGAGCUCGCGCAGCGAAUCGGCACAGGUCCUCCGCGCCCCUGAGAUCUCCGUCGGCUCUUCUCAGCGCGGCGGCGCCGCGAAUCACUCGCAACAGCGCGAUGUAGUGGUCCAGGUGAUUCAUCUCGUCCUCGUCGUCGUUCCCGCCGGCGUUCGCGCCGCCCGCGUUUUCGUCGUCGCUGUCCUCCAUAAAGUCCCAGUCGUUGCCCCGAAGCGCCUUCUCGUAAGCCAUGCAAAUGUCGGUGAGGGUGGCAUCGGGUCUUCCAGCCUCGAGGUCAGCCGCGGCGAGGGCGGGGUCGAAAACGAAGGGAGGAAGGAGCGCGGGACCGAUCGCGUCGUUCACGCGCGCGGCGUUGACUUCGGCAAAGGUCGAAAGACCCUCGGCCGCGACCUGCGCAGAGUGGGCAAAAUCGGUGACGAAAUCGUCAGGAAAAAUAGACGGCGGCGGGCGGGCGAGCAAAGGCGCGACGAGCUCGACGCCGCGCGCGCGGAGAAUGUAGCCCCCAGGCACAAUGACAGAAGACAUCUCAGGUUCAACAACUUGCCAGUGUUUUAAGGGGGAAGGCUCCGCAGUGUUUCGCGGAGGUGUCCUAAAAAUAUCCAACGUUCGUCUCGCGCCUUGAAAAAACCAAGCUACGCACUGACAACAGCGCAACUCGGGGGUAAGGGCGCAGAAUAAAGUCGGGCGGGCAAACGAACCCAAACGAUCGCGAAAGCAAAAGAGAAAAGAGAAAGAGUCGCGGAGAUGCGCGGUCGAACGCACCUUGAGUUCAAACUCUUUGUCGAACCCCGCGAGACCGAGCGCUGCGUCGAAGAGAACCCGGUCGUUGCAGCCGUACUUGCCAACCACGUUUCGUCUCGACUUCUUCUUCGUCUCGCCGCCGUUCGCGCCGGUCGCUUCCGAUCCCACGUCCUCGGGAACUUCCUUCGCGAGCUGAAACAUCAGCCUCCACCGCGUGUCGCCGCACAGCUGUGCCGCGUCGUGGCACGCCGUGCGGGCUCUGUCCCUACUCGGCCUUCGCUCCUUGGGCGUCGCUCGGCGAAACUUGUGCCGAAUCAGGACGACUUUCGCCGCGCACGCGUGCGUCGCCUCGGUGACGCACUUCGCCACCUCUUCAUCCGAUGCCGGGUCGGUGGCUAAACGGACGCGAGACGUGGUGUGCGUCGCGAUGCGCUCCAUCAACGCGCUGAGCUCCUCGAUCGUCUCCGGCGUCUUCGAGUCAUCCGGCGUUUUCGUCUUGUCGCACCAUCGCUCCGUCGUCGCCCACGCCGCGUCGACGCACUUCUCCAGUCGCGCCUCCUUGCCCUUCUCCCAGUUGAGCACCUCGGUCUUAUCGCCGCGGUACUGCGUCGGGAUCUCGAUCUUAGCCUUGAGCAAACGCCGCGUUGUCUCCUCGACGAGCUCGGCCAUCGACAUGUUGCCGAAGUCUUCCCUGUACGGCUUUUUGCGCUCGUGAUACUCGAAAUCGUCCGGACCCCCGGGUUCCCCAACGCCCGGGAAGUCUUCCGCGCGCGGGCGGAAGCACAUCUCCACCGUGAGCGUUCGCAGGACGUCGCAGUGCGCCUUUAGGGUAUCGCGAACGGCGCCGGGCGGCAUGUUCUCGACGGCGUCGUCGAAUGCCUUCGCGACGCGAGCCUCGUCCCACGCGAAAUCGUCGCCCGUGUUUGGGGACUCCGCCGCCUCGCGGAGGUGCUGGGCGAUGCGCUUGACGAAGCGAUGGGAUUCCUCGUCGGGCGCGGCGGGGCGCUUCUUGUUUGCGGGGCGCGCCGGGACGGACUUCGGGUUUUCUUUGGGCGGCAUGACGAGGGCGGUGGGCGGUGAGCUCACGAGUGCGCCGUCGUCGGUGGCGUUGUCGUUGUCGGCUCCGAUGGGAAGGCUCAGUUCUUGCGUCCGCUGAUCCUGCCGGAGCGCUUGGAUUUCUUGAGGUUCUUGGCCUGGACGUGCGAGUGACGCGGGGGUGGACGUUCGGUCAGCGUGCGUUCGUCGCGCGAGGCGCGUCGCGUCGGCGCGCCUUAGGUUUAGGAAAGAAAUCCGGCGGCGGGCGCUCGAGGAAAUAAUAAAAUCGGCGCGGGAGGGUGUCGCCAACUGCGCGGCGGCUCGUACCUUCUCGAGGAACUUCUUGUGAUCGGGGUUGGCGGGGUUUCGCUCUCCGCGUCCUCCCUUCCUGUUCGCCAGCUUCUGAGCGAUCUUCUUCUUCUUACCCAGCGCCUGCUUCUUGGCAGCGGACUUCUCCUUGUCAAUCUUCUUGCUCGCCUGCUUGAGAUUCAGCAGCGACCACGACGGCUUGUUCUGCGGGAUGUAGUACUUCUGCUUGUGGCAGUCGUAGUUCUUCAGCUUGCCCAUGCUAGGUCGGAACAGGUGCCGGAUAAAGCCUGCGCGUCGCACCCGGAUGGGAAGGACACGGAGGGCGCCGGCGGUGUCGUGAGCAGUGUCGCCCGCGACGAGGGG